CAAUACCUAGGGUAUUGCACGGGGUGCAAUAGCUGUAAUUUCAGCCUUUGAUUUAAUCCAACGGUUGUAAAGAGUUGCCACGUCAUCGAUCUGUGUCUCCCCAAUUUUUUACUCCACUUUUUCGCCCUUUCACUUCCCUUUCUCUUUCAGAUUCACCAACUUUCAAAAUUUUGCUCUCUUUCACCAAACCUUGCUGUACGUGGGACACCAGCAUCGAUUCUCCAUGACCAUGGCUACAACUGGAAGCCUCCAAGGCUCACACGACCACCACCGGCGGUGCUUGCUAGCCUGACCUUCUCCUCUCUUUAGGUCUCUGUUUUUUCGCUCUCUCAAGUCCAGCCGUGGCCAAGCUUCUUGGUUACACCGCGACACCACCAUUUUGGAUACCAUUCAUUGGAUCUCAUUCCAUACUUGGGAGGGUAGUUGUUGUGAAUGCUAAUCCUGAUGAUUUGGAAGCAUGAAUGUCCAUUGGUUUAAAGCUGCAUGUAUCUCUAUAGGAUCUAGCCGACUAUUGUUUUUUGCUUGGUGAGGUGUGCGUGCAAAAGAAGACUCUUCAAAACAAUUUGGAAACCAACUUUGGCAUAUCAACUCCUGAAUAAGUGGAGUGUUAUGGCAAAUUUAAUUUGUAUAAGAGGCUUUCUCUCUUGGGGUUACAAACUGCAGUUAAUACAAUUAGAGAAGUGUUGUGGUUUGAUUCUUGUUAACAAGAAAAAAAUUUAGCCUUUACUGGCCAUCUUGUAUUUAUCUCCAUAUACAGCUUUGUCAACAAUAAUGAGGACAUCUUGUAUUUAUCAUCAUAUAUCUUGAGAAGUAUGAAAUGGACUUGUUCUGGGUAGCUGGUGUUGUGUUUUUGCUUUCUGUUGUUGCUACAGAAUUGAAUAACUGAGCAAUUUGUUGCAUCUUCAUGUUGUAGUUGAUUUUGUGCUGCUAAGUUGAUUUUGUGUUGACAAAUAUAUGUAAUGUAUACAAUUUUGUUUAUGUUAUACGCUUUCUUAAUGCA